rnacentral:rRNA from 1 species
UAACACAUGCAAGUCGGACGGGAUCCAUCGGUAGCUUGCUACCGAUGGUGAGAGUGGCGCACGGGUGCGUAACGCGUGAGCAACCUGCCCAUAUCAGGGGGAUAGCCCGGAGAAAUCCGGAUUAACACCGCAUGACAAUGCUUUCCGGCAUCGGGAGGUAGUCAAAUAUUCAUAGGAUAUGGAUGGGCUCGCGUGACAUUAGCUAGUUGGUGGGGUAACGGCCCACCAAGGCGACGAUGUCUAGGGGAUAUGAGAGGAGAAUCCCCCACACUGGUAAUGAGACACGGACCAGACUCCUACGGGAGGCAGCAGUAAGGAAUAUUGGUCAAUGGGGGCAACCCUGAACCAGCCAUGCCGCGUGCAGGACGACUGCCCUAUGGGUUGUAAACUGCUUUUGUUAGGGAAUAAACCCCG